CAGUCGCCGCGGGAAUACGUAGGGUGCAAGCGUUAAUCGGAAUUACUGGGCGUAAAGCGUGCGCAGGCGGUUAUAUAAGUCAGAUGUGAAAUCCCCGGGCUCAACCUGGGAACUGCAUUUGAGACUGUAUGGCUAGAGUGUGUCAGAGGGGGGUAGAAUUCCACGUGUAGCAGUGAAAUGUGUAGAUAUGUGGAGGAAUACCGAUGGCGAAGGCAGCCCCCUGGGAUAACACUGACGCUCAUGCACGAAAGCGUGGGGAGCAAACAGGAUUAGAUACCCCUGUAGUCCCUGUCUCUUAUAA
rnacentral:rRNA from 1 species